GACGAACGCUGGCGGCGUGCCUAAUACAUGCAAGUCGAACGCAUUUUCCUUCACCGUAGCUUGCUACACCGAAAGAAAAUGAGUGGCGAACGGGUGAGUAACACGUAGGUAACCAGCCCAUCAGCGAGGGAUAACACUUGGAAACAGGUGAUAAUACCGCAUAAUUCCAUUUACCGCAUGGUAGAUGGAUGAAUGGCACUGUUGCGGCACUGCUGGGUGGACCCGCGGUGCAUUACCUAGUGGGUGGGGUGACGGCCUACCAAGGCUGCGAUGCAUAGCCGACCUGAGAGGGUGCUCGGCAACGCUGGGACUGGGACACGGCCCAGACUCCUGCGGGAGGCAGCAGGAGGGGAUUUUCGGCAAUGGACGCAAGUCUGACCGUGCAACGCCGCGUGAGUGAAGAAGGCUUUCGGAUCGUAAAACUCUGUUGUUAGUGAAGAACAAGGAUGAGAGUGGAAAGUUCAUCCCUUGACGGUAUCUAACCAGAAAGCCACGGCUAACUACGUG
rnacentral:rRNA from 1 species